CCCUUAGAUGUUCUGGGCCGCACGCGUGCUACACUGAGUGGAUCAGCGGGUCAGGUUGCGCGAAAGUGUUUCCUAAUCUUUAAAUCCGCUCGUGAUGGGGAUUGACGGUUGCAAUUUUCCGUCAUGAACGAGGAAUACCUUGUAAGCGCGGGUCAUCAUCCCGCGCUGAAUACGUCCCUGCCCUUUGUACACACCGCCCGUCGCUCCUACCGAUUGAGUGGUCCGGUGAGGCUUUGGGAUUUGAGCGGAAAGAGCGUUUCGCUGUUUCUGCCCGGAAAACUCAGUCGAACCUUAUCAUUUAGAGGAAGGAGAAGUCGUAACA
rnacentral:rRNA from 1 species